rnacentral:rRNA from 1 species
AUUGAACGCUGGCGGCAUGCUUUACACAUGCAAGUCGAACGGCAGCGCGGGCUUCGGCCUGGCGGCGAGUGGCGAACGGGUGAGUAAUACAUCGGAACGUGCCCAGUAGUGGGGGAUAGCUCGGCGAAAGCCGGAUUAAUACCGCAUACGACCUGAGGGUGAAAGCGGGGGAUCUUCGGACCUCGCGCUAUUGGAGCGGCCGAUGGCAGAUUAGCUAGUUGGUGGGGUAAAGGCCUACCAAGGCGACGAUCUGUGGCUGGUCUGAGAGGACGACCAGCCACACUGGGACUGAGACACGGCCCAGACUCCUACGGGAGGCAGCAGUGGGGAAUUUUGGACAAUGGGCGAAAGCCUGAUCCAGCAAUGCCGCGUGUGUGAUGAAGGCCUUCGGGUUGUAAAGCACUUUUGGCGGGAACGAAAAGGACUGUGCCAAUACCACGGUUCGAUGACGGUACCCGCAGAAUAAGCACCGGCUAACUACGUG